GAUGAACGCUGGCGGCGUGCCUAAUACAUGCAAGUCGAGCGAACAGAUGAGGAGCUUGCUCCUCUGUCGUUAGCGGCGGACGGGUGAGUAACACGUGGAUAAUCUACCUAUAAGACUGGGAUAACUUCGGGAAACCGGAGCUAAUACCGGAUAAUAUAUUGAACCGCAUGGUUCAAUAGUGAAAGACGGUUUUGCUGUCACUUAUAGAUGGAUCCGCGCCGGAUUAGCUGGUUGGUAAGGUAACGGCUUACCAAGGCAACGAUGCGUAGCCGACCUGAGAGGGUGGUCGGCCACACUGGAACUGAGACACGGUCCAGGCGCCUACGAGAGGCAGCAGUAGGGAAUCGGCCGCAGUAGGCGAAAGCCUUACGGAGCAGCGCCGCGUGAGUUAUAGAGGUCUUCGGAUCGUGAAACUCUGUUAUGAGGUGAAAACAAAUGUGUAAGGAACUAUGCACGUCGUGACGGUACCGAAUCAGAAAGCCACGGCUAACUACGUG
rnacentral:rRNA from 1 species